rnacentral:sRNA from 1 species
GGAAAGUGUGAAUAUGGGAGUGUGGCUCUGUGAGUGCGUGAUGAGUGCCAGAUAGAUUCGCGGAAGAAACUGGGUGGCUGUGUGCUGGCGUGUGAUUGUGCGCGCCGGACAUGGCCAUGUGAGUUGGUUCAUUCUUGGUCCGGUGCCCCUUCUGUUGGGUAAAACUUGGAUCUGGCCCGAGAUGAAGUCUCACCCUGUCUCCCAGACUGGAGCACAGUGGUGCAAUCACGGUUCACUGCAACCUCUGCCUCCCAGGUUCAAGCGAUUCGCCUGCCUCGGCCUCCCGAGCAGCUGGAACUAUAGGCACACACCACCACGCCUGGCUAAUUUUUGUAUUUUUAGCAGAGAUGGGGUUUAACCAUGUCAGCCAGGCUGGUCUCGAACUCCUGACCUCAAGUGAUCUGCCUGCCUCGGCCUCCCAAAGUGCUGGGAUUAUAGUCAUGAGCCACUGCACCCGGCCCAUCCUCAAAUUUUGGCAUGAGGUGGUGUCCUGGAAUCAAUCCCCCAUGGAUACCAAAGGAUGACCAUACUGUAUUCCUAGCAUGAAUUCAGUAUCAAUC